UUUAAUUUAAUUUACAAUAACAAGUGGGCCCUCCCCCGAAUAAACAAAAGUAAAGAGGACUGUGAACCUACAGUUUGGAAAAUGCAAUUCUAACGGUAGUCCUCGAUGAGAUCAGCUAUUUACAGCCUAUUCUGAACCUAAAAUUGGUGAAAAGGAGAGUGGUGAGAUUUUAUAAUCCCAGUGAGUAAACAAACAUCAUUCAAAAGAUCUAAAGUCGAGUAAAAAGAGACUAUUAAAACAUUUCAUCUAAAUAUGUUUUUCAUAACAUAAAUACUCAUUUCAUUUAAAUAAUCAACAUGGCUUAUGAGUAUUUUAAAAGCUUGACUCCUACCAAAAUCAUUCUCGAGGAUACCUUGGCCGAGACAUCUAACCGAGUCCGUCAAGGCUGUUAAAAAUUUCGUAUACACAUAAACAAAUUAUUGUUUGAAAAACACAGCCGUUCCUUGGCGUUAGAGGAGUUCAUCAUCACGAGGUGGUUCGGCAUGACGUGAACUCUAACCAUACCUCAGGAGAUACCCUACGAGCCUCUCUGACCGAGGUACAUAUGUAUAUCCGGAUUUUGUGCCCCUCUAAUAGGCUGGUCCACAGAAUCCACCUACUACAGCAAGCUAAACCCACCAUACAAUAAAAUUUUGACAGCAUGACAGGGCUAAUAUUUUACUACCCAGCCUGCAAGGGUAAAAUAAAAUAAUUCAUAAAACACAGCCUAGCCAGUCAUGCCAACACAAUAACAAUAUAAUAUAAGUCAUCAAUUUCCAAUCAUAAAUUUACAACAUACCGGUGGUCUCCAAUUACUCUAUUUUCAAAAUCGUUAUUUCGUUUCAAGACAAUUUAUAAAAUCUUUUCAUUUAAACACAUUUUUGUUUAUAAAACCUUAAAUUUGCCAUUUAACUCAUUUUCAUAAAAUUUCACCAAAAUCGAGUUGAAACAUAUUUUAGAUAAUUAAAAUGAUGAUAAGGUUACUCAUUAUGUCUAGAGUGCAGAUUCUCGAAAUACUCAGACUACUGGUCCUCGGGUGUAAUUCCCUUGCUUUUAUCGGAGGACUCACCACCUUGACAUAGUACAAAAUCGAAAAAUUCACCACAUUGGUACUAAAUUAAAAUUAAACUAAUUUAGACUACUAAUGCAUGAUAUGGAAUGCAAAAAUGCACUGGUAACUAUCUAAAUCCGGUAUUGGCCUAAUUCGUCUUAUCACCUGAUUAAAUUACUAACGCGUCCAAUUUAAUCCCAAAUUACUCCAUUUCUUUUCUAAAACCUCAAUUCACCAAACAUUAUUCAAAUAACACCAAUUUCAGCAUCAAAACCUUCCCAUUUCUUCAUGAAAAAAUUUGACCAUUACAGUGCACUGACACCGUGAUUUUUCCUACUUAAUUUUCUCACCAUUAUUCAUCAUUUUCUAAGCCAUUUCUCUUGAAAUAAUAACAAUCCAUCUCCCACACAUAUCAAGGAAGAUUCGGCCAAUGAAGAUUCAUGGAGAAAAUGGAUUCUUUUNCAUGAAUUCAUCAUGAAAACAUGUAAUUUAACCAUGAAAAAUAAGGAGAAAUGCUUAAGGAAAAUAGAUUUCAAGUUUAAAUUGAAAAAUCCUACCUUUUUCACUUGUUUUCCUUGAUUUUCCACACUUUUUCUCUUGAAAUCCUCCACCUAGGUUUUGUUCUUGUUUUUCCUUUCUUU
rnacentral:lncRNA from 1 species